rnacentral:rRNA from 1 species
GAGUUUGAUCUUGGCUCAGAACGAACGCUGACGGCAUGCCUAACACAUGCAAGUCGAACGAACUCUUCGGAGUUAGUGGCGCACGGGUGCGUAACGCGUGGGAAUCUGCCCUUGGGUACGGAAUAACUCAGAGAAAUUUGUGCUAAUACCGUAUAAUGACUUCGGUCCAAAGAUUUAUCGCCCAAGGAUGAGCCCGCGUAAGAUUAGCUAGUUGGUGGGGUAAAGGCCUACCAAGGCUACGAUCUUUAGCUGGUCUGAGAGGAUGAUCAGCCACACUGGGACUGAGACACGGCCCAGACUCCUACGGGAGGCAGCAGUGGGGAAUAUUGGACAAUGGGCGAAAGCCUGAUCCAGCAAUGCCGCGUGAGUGAUGAAGGCCUUAGGGUUGUAAAGCUCUUUUACCCGGGAUGAUAAUGACAGUACCGGGAGAAUAAGCUCCGGCUAACUCCGUGCCAGCCGCCGCCGUAAU